AGUCUUAUAGUUUAAUAAAAAACUUUAAAUUGCAAAUUUAAAAAUGUAAAUAUCCUCUAAGACUU
rnacentral:tRNA from 1 species